rnacentral:rRNA from 1 species
GAUGAACGCUGGCGGCGUGCCUAAUACAUGCAAGUCGAGCGAACAGAUGAGGAGCUUGCUCCUCUGACGUUAGCGGCGGACGGGUGAGUAACACGUGGAUAACCUACCUAUAAGACUGGGAUAAUUCGGGAAACCCGAGCCUAAUACGGGAUAAUAUAUUAACCCGCAGGGUUCAUUAGUGAAGACGGUUUUUCUUUCACCUAAUGGUGGGUCCCGCGCCGCAUUAGCUAGUUGGUAAGGUAACGGCUUACCAAGGCAACGAUGCGUAGCCGACCUGAGAGGGUGAUCGGCCACACUGGAACUGAGACACGGUCCAGACUCCUACGGGAGGCAGCAGUAGGGAAUCUUCCGCAAUGGGCGAAAGCCUGACGGAGCAACGCCGCGUGAGUGAUGAAGGUCUUCGGAUCGUAAAACUCUGUUAUUAGGGAAGAACAAAUGUGUAAGUAACUAUGCACGUCUUGACGGUACCUAAUCAGAAAGCCACGGCUAACUACGUG